rnacentral:rRNA from 1 species
AUGAAAGCUUUAUUCUGGAAUAUUAGAGGUUUCGGCGCCAGGGGGCGCAGGGACCAGCUUAAAGAUUUAGUUCGUGCUGAAAAUAUUGAUUUCAUUGGUCUUGUCAAAACUCUCAAACCUUCCUUUUCCCCUAAUGAACUAUCGGCUGUUGCUGGGAUUGACAGAUUCAAUUGGAAUUUUGUUGCUUCUGAAGGUCACUCAGGUGGUAUUUUGCUUGGCACCAAAAAAGAUGUUUUCGAUUUUGUUGCCUUUGACCAUGGCAUUUUUUGGGCUAGCACGGUGGUUUCUCAUCGAUCCCUUAACUCCUUACUUGAAAUUAUGGUGGUUUAUGGCCCGGCUGAUCACUCUAUGUCUUACAACUUCUUGGAUGAACUGCACAAUAAAAUCGACUCUUGUCAGGUGCCUCUCCUAAUCGGGGGAGAUUUUAAUUUGCUU